UGGGGGAAAAUUAAUAUAAUAAAAUAAAUAAUAAAAAUAAUUAUAAAAAAUAAUUAAUGGGGGUUAAAGUAUUUUUUAGAAAAAAAUUUAUUAAUUUAUAGUUUAAUAGUAUUGUGAAAGAAUUUUGAAAUAAAGUUAAAUAUGGAUUAUUAUUUAAGUAAAUUUAAUUUAUUGUAUCUUGUGUAUCAGAGUUUAUUAAUAAAAUAUUUUUAAAUAAAAAUAUCUCGAAUUUAAAAGAGAUAGUUAAUUAUUAAAGUUAAUGUGACAUAAUUAUUUUAAAUAAUUAAUUUGAAAUGAAAUGUUAAUCGUUUUUAAAAAUAUCUAGUUUUUUUAGAAAAAAAUUUAAUUUUAAAUUAAUUUAAUAAUUUUUUAAAUUUGUUAUAUAAAAUUAUAUAUUUAAUUAAAUAUUUUAAGGGAUAAGCUUUAAAUUAAAUUUUUAUAAUGUUAAUAAACUAUUUAAAUAUUUUAAAAUUUAUAUUUUUUAUAAAUUAUAAUUUUUUAUAAAUAAUUUUAUUUAUUUUAAAAUUUAAAUUUAUAUUUAAAUUUAUAUAAAAAAAUAAUUUUUAAUAAUAAAAAAUUAGUUAUAAUGAUAAAAUUAGUAUAAAAAAAAAAAUAAAAUAAAAUUAAUUAAAAUUAAUAAAAAGGAAUUCGGCAAAAAU
rnacentral:rRNA from 1 species